AAUAAAAAUUUAUUUUUAUAUAUUUUUGCCUUUAUUGAGAAUUCAAUAAGAGAUUUUCGAGUGGAAUGCUGGGUUUUCUUGCUUUGAGUUUUUUAAUUUUUCUUUGCAAUGGUUGUAUGGGGGCUUGGAACAAGCAGGACAAGUGUGCUGUAAAUUGGGGACUGCCCUUCUGCAGCGAGCACCUCUGAGCAUGCAGAGCUACUACAGAAGUCUCAGGUUGCCAAGUUAGGAUCCUGAUUUGAGUGAAGCAGUCUCCUUCACUGCCCCCCCUUCCAAAAUUUGAAUAAUGGUAAAGAUAACUUUGCAUCGGGCAAAUCUGCUGCAAAAGACCUCUUUAAAGUGUUAAAAAGCAAAGACGUCACUUUGAAGACUAAGGUGCGCCUGACCCAAGCCAUGGUAUUUCCAAUCACCUCAUAUGCAUGAGAAGGCUGGACAAUGAAAAAGGAAGACUGAAAAAAAUUUGACACCUCUGAAUUAUGGUGUUGGCAAAGAAUAUUGAGUAUACCAUGGACUGCCAGAGGAACGAACAAAGCUGUCUUGGAAGAAGUACAGCCAGAAUGCUCCUUAGACACAAAGAUGGCAAGACCAUUUCAUGUACUUUGGACACGUUAUCAGGAGGGACCAGUCCCUGGAAAAAGACAUCAUGCUUGGUAAAGUGGACGGUCAGUGAAAAAGAGGAAGACCCUUGGUGAGAUAGACGGACACAGUGGCAGCAACAAUGGGCUCAAGUAUAGCUACAAUUGUGAGGAUGGUGCAGGACCAGGCGGUGUUUCAUUCUGUUGUACAUAGGGUCGUACCCACCCUGCUUUUCGGUGCUUCAGCCCAGAAGUGAUAUACUGGAAGUGACAAAACUUCUGCUCACAACCUAUUGGCCAGAACUAGUCAUGCGGUCUUGCCCAAUUGGAAGAGAACUGAGAAAUAGAGGCUUCCAUGCUUCCAGAAAAGAGGAGAACUGGAUAUUUCUGAACACUAGUAAUAUUUCACCACACCUACAAAGUUUUGAAGGAAGUCGUUUUUAUUCCCCCACUAGUUGGAGUUUCCAAGGAAACUCUAUGGGGCAGUUCUACUCUGUCCUCUAGGGUCACUAUGAGUUGGAAUCAGCUUGACAGCAGUGGGUUUUUGGUUUAGUUGGAAAGAGAGGUCCCUGGGUGGCACAUAUGGUUUGCACUCAACAGCUAUUCAAAAGGUUGGCGGUUUGAACCUACCCAGCAGCACUGUGGAAGGAAGACCUGGUGAUCUGCUUUCAUAAAGAUUACAGCCAAGAAAAUGCUGUGGAGCAGUUCUACUCUAAUACGUGGGGUCACCGUGAGUCGAACUCAACGGCAAUAGGUUUGGUUUGGUCUUGUUUUUAGUUGGAGAGAUUUUGGUCUCUAAAUGCAGGGAGGAAACCCUGGUGGCAUAGUGGUUAAGAGCUAUAGGCUGCUAACAAAAAAGUUGGCAGUUUGAAUCCCCCAGGCGCUCCUUGGGAACUCUAUGGGGCAGUUCUACUCUGUCCUAUAGGGUCGCUAUGAGUCGGAAUCAACUAGAUGGUAGUGGGUUUUUUGUUUAAACACAGGGAAGCCAAUAGAGUCUGGACCUCCUAGGAAAGAAGCCCUAGAGUCCCAGCAGAAGUUUGACCUGAAGCCCCACCAUUUUGGCCAUGCCUAAGGAGUUCCUCAAAAACGAGCUAAUUCCCCUGUGGAACCAGGCACCCCACCCACCCUCUAGUUCCACACUCUGAGGGAACUAGAUUCACUUUAUAGCUUCUGGAGUUUAUGGCCCCAUUAGCUGCCUAACAGGAACCCCGGUGGCACCAUGGUUAAGCUCUCAGCUGCUAACCAGCAGGUCGGUGGUUCAAACCCACUAGCAGCUCCGUGGGAGAAAAGACCUAACGUCCUGCUCCAGUAACUACAGUACAGCCUAGGAAACUCUAUGGGGAAGUUCUCCUCUGCCCUGUAGGGUUGCUAUGAGUCAGUGGGCCACAUGCAACAGGUGCCUAACCAGACUUCACAAACUGUGUGCACUCCAUGUUGUUUUUAUUUCAGAAAAAUAAAAUUUAAGAAAAGCGGGAUACAUAUCAACUGAACAGCUAUUCAAAAAUAAUUUGCCAGAGUAACCAGUAUGCCUAAAACCUAAAAGGGCUCUCUGUUGGAUCCUGAAGCAGAACUUUGAGAAAUGGGUAGUGGCUGUUCUGGAGGUUAACGGUCAGCUUCCUGACGGAAACUGAAAGUUUCAAUCAAGUUCUCUUGAGGGAAGAGAAAGGAACUCAGCUGAAGCGGUGCUGAAGCUUCCGGUCUCAUGCACUGGCUGAGAUGAGAAAGAUGAUCAAAACUACCGUGGGGUAUUAUUCUAGCACUUGAACGUAGACAACCUGAAGUUGUGUGGGAGCUAGCAGGAAGCAGCAGAUGCACAGCUUUGAAGAAGCAAGCUGUCAAAAUAAGUGGUCAUGUUGGAAAAGCCCAAGGGACAAGGAACUUCUGGGGGGCUCUAGUAGCUGAAGGUGACCACAAACAAGAAGCUGAACCCUUCAGUUCCGUAGCUACAAAGUGCUGAAAACUUGUGGGAGCUUGGAAGUAAAUCUUUGCCCAGCUGAGCCUCUGAUGAGAUCAUAGCCCCAGCCAACACCUGGAGGGCAGCCUGAGGAGACCUAGAGAGAAGAGCCAGCUGAUCAGUGCUCCACUGCUGGUUUACUGCCUGUCUCCUCCACUUCCCCUCUCCCACCACCACUAGAAUUAAACUCCGUAAGAGGGGAGAAUUUCUUUCACUCACUUCUGUAUUCCCAGCAUGCAGAUCAGCAGUUGGCACAUAGUAAAAAAAAAAAAAAAAAAAUAGUAGGCACUCAAUAAAUACU